UACGUAGGGGGCGAGCGUUGUCCGGAAUUAUUGGGCGUAAAGGGCGCGCAGGCGGUGACUUAAGUCUGAUGUGAAAGCCCACGGCUCAACCGUGGAAGGUCAUUGGAAACUGGGUCACUUGAAUACAGAAGAGGAAAGUGGAAUUCCAUGUGUAGCGGUGAAAUGCGUAGAUAUAUGGAGGAACACCAGUGGCGAAGGCGACUUUCUGGUCUGUUAUUGACGCUGAGGCUCGAAAGCAUGGGUAGCAAACAGGAUUAGAUACCCCGGUAGU
rnacentral:rRNA from 1 species